rnacentral:rRNA from 1 species
AACAUGCAGUCGAACGGUGAAGCCAAGCUUGCUUGGUGGAUCAGUGGCGAACGGGUGAGUAACACGUGAGCAACCUGCCCUGGACUCUGGGAUAAGCGCUGGAAACGGCGUCUAAUACUGGAUAUGAGACGUGAUCGCAUGGUCGUGUUUGGAAAGAUUUUUCGGUCUGGGAUGGGCUCGCGGCCUAUCAGCUUGUUGGUGAGGUAAUGGCUCACCAAGGCGUCGACGGGUAGCCGGCCUGAGAGGGUGACCGGCCACACUGGGACUGAGACACGGCCCAGACUCCUACGGGAGGCAGCAGUGGGGAAUAUUGCACAAUGGGCGGAAGCCUGAUGCAGCAACGCCGCGUGAGGGAUGACGGCCUUCGGGUUGUAAACCUCUUUUAGCAGGGAAGAAGCGAAAGUGACGGUACCUGCAGAAAAAGCGCCGGCUAACUACGUGCCAGCAGCCGCGGUAAUACGUAGGGUGCAAGCGUUGUCCGGAAUUAUUGGGCGUAAAGAGCUCGUAGGCGGUUUGUCGCGUCUGCUGUGAAAUCCCGAGGCUCAACCUCGGGCUUGCAGUGGGUACGGGCAGACUAGAGUGCGGUAGGGGAGAUUGGAAUUCCUGGUGUAGCGGUGGAAUGCGCAGAUAUCAGGAGGAACACCGAUGGCGAAGGCAGAUCUCUGGGCCGUAACUGACGCUGAGGAGCGAAAGCGUGGGGAGCGAACAGGAUUAGAUACCCUGGUAGUCCACGCCGUAAACGUUGGGCGCUAGAUGUAGGGACCUUUCCACGGUUUCUGUGUCGUAGCUAACGCAUUAAGCGCCCCGCCUGGGGAGUACGGCCGCAAGGCUAAAACUCAAAGGAAUUGACGGGGGCCCGCACAAGCGGCGGAGCAUGCGGAUUAAUUCGAUGCAACGCGAAGAACCUUACCAAGGCUUGACAUACACCGGAAACGGCCAGAGAUGGUCGCCCCCUUGUGGUCGGUGUACAGGUGGUGCAUGGUUGUCGUCAGCUCGUGUCGUGAGAUGUUGGGUUAAGUCCCGCAACGAGCGCAACCCUCGUUCUAUGUUGCCAGCGCGUUAUGGCGGGGACUCAUAGGAGACUGCCGGGGUCAACUCGGAGGAAGGUGGGGAUGACGUCAAAUCAUCAUGCCCCUUAUGUCUUGGGCUUCACGCAUGCUACAAUGGCCGGUACAAAGGGCUGCGAUACCGUAAGGUGGAGCGAAUCCCAAAAAGCCGGUCUCAGUUCGGAUUGAGGUCUGCAACUCGACCUCAUGAAGUCGGAGUCGCUAGUAAUCGCAGAUCAGCAACGCUGCGGUGAAUACGUUCCCGGGCCUUGUACACACCGCCCGUCGGAGUCAUGAAAGUCGGUAACACCCGAAGCCGGUGGCCUAACCCUUGUGGAAGGAGCCG